rnacentral:lncRNA from 1 species
GCACAACGUUUAACUUACAGGCAACUCUCAAAAGAUGCCAAACAGAAAUCUCAAGCUGAGUUGAAGAUGAGAAGGAAAAGUCAAGGAGGAUGAAAUGUACUCAGAUACAAACACAGAGAAAUUGAGGUGAACUUUUCAGCACUAUUUUAUUUUGUUGUUGACAAUUUGUACAAUUUACAGGGCUGCUUACUUAGCUCAGUCAACCUACACUAUACUAUACAUCCACUCAUUGCUGUGAUGCUGUUGAAGUUAAAAAAGGAGCAUUUUUGACUUGGUGUGAGCUGAAGGCUACAGAGUUUUCCAGAGUUAAAAAUAAUUAGUAGCCUCCUAAAAACACUGGCAUUUUCUCCCGAUUUGGGGGUGGCAGUGGGUGUUGGUAAGAGAUGUUCCAUGAUUAGCAUUACUCUCCCAUGUUACAGCUGAAGAAAAUGGGGCUUAGGCCAAGUCACAUAGUUGUUAAUUAGAACUAGGGUUUAAAUUUGAACUUUCUGGUUUCAAAGCCCUUGAUUUUCCAGUAGAACACAAUCUUAUCCCUGAAGUAUGAAGUAAUAUUUUGUGCAGAUUGCCCUGCACAGAAUGUAAGGCCCUUUGGCAACAUCCUUCUACACAUGAGUCAGGGAUCUUAAUGAGAAUGAUGAUACCUGCUCAGGUCAGUUUACAACUUUGUUAAGUGUAAAGACGGCACAAGAUAAAUGUUUGGCUGUUCAGCUUUCAUUCCUCAUGACAUACUUGUAUAAUUAUUAUUUAUUUUCCUAGUAUAUAGAAACCAUUACAUCUCGCCAGAGCGAAAUCCAGAAAUUUAUUGCAGAUGAUUGCAAAGAAGCUCUACUUGAAGAGAAAAGGCACUUCUGCUUUCUGGUCGACAAACACUGUAGCUUUGCAAAAAACUUGCAUUAUUAUCAUUUACAGAAUUACUCAAUUCCAAGCUGCCCUGGUGGCAGGAAACCUGUGGUGAUGCUA